rnacentral:lncRNA from 1 species
CCGCUCCUCAGAGAAGCAGAUGGAAGGGGAGGCCCCAAAUCAAGACGCUUACAGGCACUCCCACCUUCGGGAAGCAAGGGGUCAGCCGCGCGGCCUCGGGUCGAGCCUGCUCGAAUCCCGCCUCGCUCGCUUCCUGGCCGUGUGAUGUGCGGGCAACGUUGCUUCUCUGAGCCUCAGUGUCCUCCCCUGUAAAAUGGUCACGAGCACAGAUACGCCUGCUGCCUGGGGUCGUUCGCACUCCUUCAGCGAGCACUCCUGGAUUCUGAGCUUAGUGGGGGCAGCACAGGAUAGGAGUUCAACAGUGAACCUUGCUGCCCCUUCACUGCUGGGAGGAUUCGGGGUCUCCACCAGGUAGCGCUCAGGCCCCGGGAUCAGACAUGGUGAGUUUGAAUCCUGGCCCCCGCCCCUCACCAGUUGGGUUUGCCUUGGGCAGCUAGCCCAACCCGUCUGACUCUCCCCUCCUUUGGGCAGUGGGGACCCGUAACAGCCGCCACAUCAGAGGGCCAUCAGGAGGACUGCACGGGGAGGGCACACGCCAGGUUUAACCCAGUCACUGGCAUGUAGUAAGUGCUCAGUAAAUGUUGCUGGUGCUGUUGGUUUGAUCCCACCCCCCAAACACAAGCGCAAGACUCUCCUCCUUUACGUUCGAGUCACACGCAACGCGAUCCCCCGGCCCCGGGAGAGCCAGAGACCCUCAGAAGCUGCUUCAUCAACCGCACCUCCCAGCCAGAUCAACAUCACCUACGCGACCGUUGGCACCCCUGGGUCACCCACGAGGAACCCUGCCCCUGGGCUCAGGUAUCAGUUGUAUCCCUGUAUUCUGACCACUGCUUCCUCAACGUUUUGCUGCGGUUGAAGUUUUUGAGGAAAUGCACGUCACAUGUAAUUAACCAUUGGAGCGUACAAGUCAGUGGUAUUCAGUGCACUCACCACGUGGUGCGACCACCAGCUCGCUCUACUUUGAGGACUUUUCAGGGGCGCCUGGGUGGCUCAGUCGGUUAAGCGUCCGACUUCGGCUCAGGUCACGAUCUCACGGUCCGUGAGUUCGGGCCCCGUGUCGGGCUCCGUGCUGACAGCUCAGAGCCUGGAGGCUGCUUCGGAUUCUGUGUCUCUCCCUCUCUCUCUGCCCCUCCCCUGCUCGCACCCUCUCUCGCUCUUUCCCUUUCUCUCUCAAAAAUAAAUAAAUAUUAAAAGAAAUUAAACCA